rnacentral:rRNA from 1 species
AGAGUUUGACCCUGGCUCAGGAUGAACGCUAGCAGAGUGCUUAAUGCAUGCAAGUCGAACGCCUCCUUCGGGAGGAGUGGCGAACGGGCGAGUAACACGUGCCUAACCUGCCCUUUAGUUUGGAACAGCUGUGGAAACACAAUUAAUUCCGAAUGUGCAACUAUGUAAUGAGAAAGCAAAGUUGUAAAGGAGCAAUCCGCUAAAGGAGGGGGGCGCGGCCCACCAGUUAGUUGGUAAGGUAAAAGCUUACCAAGGCAAAGACGGGUAGCCGGCUUGAGAGGGUGAUCGGCCGCAAUGGGACUGAGACACGGCCCAUACCCCUACGGGGGGCAGCAGCAGGGAAUAUUGGACAAUGGGGGAAACCCUGAUCCAGCAACUCUGCGUGAAGGAAUAAGCCUUACGGGGUGUAAACUUCUUUUCUGGGGGAAGACGAAAGACGGUACCCCAGGAAUAAGGGGCGGCUAACUACGUGCCAGCAGCCGCGGUAAUACGUAGGCCCCGAGCGUUAUCCGGAGUUACUGGGCGUAAAGAGUCCGUAGCCGGAAGUAUAAGUCUACUUUCAAAGACCAUGGCUUAACUAUGGGAAGGGGGUAGAUACUGUAUAACUAGAGAUAGAUGGAGGUUAGUGGAAUUUCCAGUGGAGGGGUGAAAUCCGUUGAUAUUGGAAGGAACGCCUAAAGCGAAAGCAGCUAACUAUGCCUCAUCUGACGGUGAAGGACGAAAGCGUGGGUAGCAAACAGGAUUAGAUACCCUGGUAGUCCACGCUGUAAACGAUGCUCGCUAAGUGUUGGACUGGCGUAAGCCGGAUCAGUGCUGUAACUUAACGGAUUAAGCGAGCCGCCUGGGGAGUAUAGUCGCAAGACCGAAACUCAAAGGGAUAGGCGGGGAAACACACAAGCGGUGGAUUGCCUCGAUUAAUUGGAGACUAAGCCAAGAAUCUUACCUGGGUUUGACAUAUAGUAUGUCACAUAUGAAAGUAUGUUAGUAUUACGUAAGUAAUACGUGCUAUACAGGUGCUGCAUGGCCGUCGUCAGCUCGUGCCGCAAGGUGUCCGGUUAAGUCCGGGAACGAGCGCAACCCUUGCUCUUAGUUAGGAUGUCUAAGGGGACUGCUGGGGCAACCCGGAGGAAGGAGGGGAUGACGUCAGGUCAUUAUGGCCCUUAUACCCAGGGCGUCAGAGGCAAUACAAUGGGUAGUACAAAGGGAAGCGAAAGUGUGAGCUGGAGCAAAACCAAAAAGCUAUCCUAAGUGCGGAUUGCAGUCUGGAACUCGACUGCAUGAAGUUGGAAUCGCUAGUAAUGGUGGAUCAGCCAUGCCACCGUGAAUAAGUCCCUGUUUCUUGCACUCACCGCCCGUCACACCAUGGGAGCUGAAGCUCUUUGAAGAUCCGCAUAUGCGGGUUGAGGAGGGAUUCAGUGACUGGGGUGAAGUCGUAACAAGGUA